GAUGAACGCUGGCGGCGUGCCUAAUACAUGCAAGUCGAGCGAACGGACGAGAAGCUUGCUUCUCUGAUGUUAGCGGCGGACGGGUGAGUAACACGUGGAUAACCUACCUAUAAGACUGGGAUAACUUCGGGAAACCGGAGCUAAUACCGGAUAAUAUUUUGAACCGCAUGGUUCAAAAGUGAAAGACGGUCUUGCUGUCACUUAUAGAUGGAUCCGCGCUGCAUUAGCUAGUUGGUAAGGUAACGGCUUACCAAGGCAACGAUGCAUAGCCGACCUGAGAGGGUGAUCGGCCACACUGGAACUGAGACACGGUCCAGACUCCUACGGGAGGCAGCAGUAGGGAAUCUUCCGCAAUGGGCGAAAGCCUGACGGAGCAACGCCGCGUGAGUGAUGAAGGUCUUCGGAUCGUAAAACUCUGUUAUUAGGGAAGAACAUAUGUGUAAGUAACUGUGCACAUCUUGACGGUACCUAAUCAGAAAGCCACGGCUAACUACGUGCCAGCAGCCGCGGUAAUACGUAGGUGGCAAGCGUUAUCCGGAAUUAUUGGGCGUAAAGCGCGCGUAGGCGGUUUUUUAAGUCUGAUGUGAAAGCCCACGGCUCAACCGUGGAGGGUCAUUGGAAACUGGAAAACUUGAGUGCAGAAGAGGAAAGUGGAAUUCCAUGUGUAGCGGUGAAAUGCGCAGAGAUAUGGAGGAACACCAGUGGCGAAGGCGACUUUCUGGUCUGUAACUGACGCUGAUGUACGAAAGCGUGGGGAUCAAACAGGAUUAGAUACCCUGGUAGUCCACGCCGUAAACGAUGAGUGCUAAGUGUUAGGGGGUUUCCGCCCCUUAGUGCUGCAGCUAACGCAUUAAGCACUCCGCCUGGGGAGUACGACCGCAAGGUUGAAACUCAAAGGAAUUGACGGGGACCCGCACAAGCGGUGGAGCAUGUGGUUUAAUUCGAAGCAACGCGAAGAACCUUACCAAAUCUUGACAUCCUUUGACAACUCUAGAGAUAGAGCUUUCCCCUUCGGGGGACAAAGUGACAGGUGGUGCAUGGUUGUCGUCAGCUCGUGUCGUGAGAUGUUGGGUUAAGUCCCGCAACGAGCGCAACCCUUAAGCUUAGUUGCCAUCAUUAAGUUGGGCACUCUAAGUUGACUGCCGGUGACAAACCGGAGGAAGGUGGGGAUGACGUCAAAUCAUCAUGCCCCUUAUGAUUUGGGCUACACACGUGCUACAAUGGACAAUACAAAGGGCAGCGAAACCGCGAGGUCAAGCAAAUCCCAUAAAGUUGUUCUCAGUUCGGAUUGUAGUCUGCAACUCGACUACAUGAAGCUGGAAUCGCUAGUAAUCGUAGAUCAGCAUGCUACGGUGAAUACGUUCCCGGGUCU
rnacentral:rRNA from 1 species